UACGGGGGGGGCAAGCGUUGUUCGGAAUUACUGGGCGUAAAGGGCUCGUAGGUGGCCAACUAAGUCAGACGUGAAAUCCCUCAGCUUAACUGGGGAACUGCGUCUGAUACUGGAUGGCUUGAGAUUGGGAGAGGGAUGCGGAAUUCCAGGUGUAGCGGUGAAAAUGCGUAGAUAUCUGGAGGAACACCGGUGGCGAAGGCGGCAUCCUGGACCGGUAUUGACGCUGAGGCGCGAAAAGCUAGGGGGAGCAAACGGGGAUUAAGAAACC
rnacentral:rRNA from 1 species